GACGAACCGUGCGAACGUUGUUCGGAAUCACUGGGCUUAAAGGGCGCGUAGGCGGGCCGCCAAGUCGGAGGUGAAAUCUCCCGGCUCAACCGGGAAAGUGCCCCCGAUACUGGCGGCCUCGAGGGAGGUAGGGGCACGCGGAACUUCCGGUGGAGCGGUGAAAUGCGUAGAUAUCGGAAGGAACGCCGGUGGCGAAAGCGGCGUGCUGGGCCUCUUCUGACGCUGAGGCGCGAAAGCCAGGGGAGCGAACGGG
rnacentral:misc_RNA from 1 species